AACCAUUCUCACCUGCGGCUAGACCUGCGGAGGGAUCAUUACUGAAAGGAAAAAAUAAUAUAUUAUUUUUUCUUCCAUAUCCACCCUUUGUUGAUUGAAUCCAUAUCAUUUUUUCUUCCACUGGACAGGUGGUUCCUUCUAAAAAAGGGAGCUGCCCUCAGGCUUGAAAAUAUAUAUACAUAUAUUUUCUUGCCAGGGAGUGCCGGUGGUAAGACUUCAAAAUUAAAAAAAUUUGCUGAG
rnacentral:misc_RNA from 1 species